UACGUAGGGUGCAAGCGUUAAUCGGAAUUACUGGGCGUAAAGCGUGCGCAGGCGGUUUUGUAAGUCAGAUGUGAAAUCCCCGGGCUUAACCUGGGAACUGCGUUUGAAACUACAAGGCUAGAGUGUGGCAGAGGGGGGUGGAAUUCCACGUGUAGCAGUGAAAUGCGUAGAGAUGUGGAGGAACACCGAUGGCGAAGGCAGCCCCCUGGGCUAACACUGACGCUCAGGCACGAAAGCGUGGGGAGCAAACAGG
rnacentral:rRNA from 1 species